rnacentral:rRNA from 1 species
CCUGGUUGAUCCUGCCAGUAGUCAUAUGCUUGUCUCAAAGAUUAAGCCAUGCAUGUGUAAGUACAGGCCGACUUAAGGCGAAACCGCGGACGGCUCAUUAAAUCAGAUAUAACUCAUUGGAUCUCUGCUGAAACCGCAUUACUUGGAUAACUGUGGUAAUUCUAGAGCUAAUACAUGCCUUUGUAGUCUCCGACCGCGAGGGAGGAGCGCUUUUAUUAGACCAAAACCCUCGGCAGCCGGUUCCCGCAAGGGGCCGGCCGCACACAUCUUGGUGAAUCAGAAUAACUUUUGCCGAGCGCACGACCCCUCCCGUAACCCGGGUUGGGUCGGCGCCGCGUCCUGCAGGCGUCUGCCUUAUCAGCUCUCGAUUGUAGGUUAAACGCCUACAAUGGCUAUCACGGGUAACGGGGAAUCAGGGUUCGAUUCCGGAGAGGGAGCCUGAGAAACGGCUACCACAUCUAAGGAAGGCAGCAGGCGCGCAAAUUACCCACUCCCGGCACGGGGAGGUAGUGACGAAAAAUACUGUUGCGAGCCCCGAACGGGGCCUCGCAAUUGGAAUGAGUACACUUUAAAUCCUUGUACGAGGAUCGAGUGGAGGGCAAGUCUGGUGCCAGCCGCCGCGGUAAUUCCAGCUCCACUAGCGUAUAUUAAAGUUGUUGCGGUUGAAACGCUCGUAGUUUGACUUCUGCUCCGGACCGGCGGUCCGCCUUAGCGGCGGCUACUGCCGGGUUCCGAGCUGUGUCCCCGCCGGCGCACAUGGGGUUUUUAUGCCCUUAACCGGGUGUCCCCUUGUGGCCGGCACGUUUACUUUGAAAAAAUUAGAGUGCUCAGAGCAGGCUGGUUUUUGCUUACAGCCCGAAUGGUCGUGCAUGGAAUGAUGGAACAGGACCUCGGUUCUAUUUUGUCGGUUUUUCGGAACCCGAGGUAAUGAUUAAUAGAAGCAGACGGGGGCAUUCGUACUGCGACGCUAGAGGUGAAAUUCUUAGACCGUCGCAUGACGACCUACUGCGAAAGCAUCUGCCAAGGAUGUUUUCAUUGAUCAAGAACGAAAGUUAGAGGUUCGAAGGCGAUCAGAUACCGCCCUAGUUCUAACCUUAAACGAUGCUGACUAGCGAUCCGCCGCAGUUAUUCCCAUGACCCGGCGGGUAGCUUCCGGGAAACCAAAGUCUUUGAGUUCCGGGGGCUACUUUGCAGGACUUCAAUGUUGAGUUCACCGUGGAGUACUACCUGUCCCUCGGUCUUCCCAAGGAGAAGAUGGUGUUGGGGAUCCCACUGUACGGCCGGUGCUUCACGCUGGAUGACAUCGAGGAAAAUGGAUUCUACGCGCCUGCACACAAGCCAGGAGCUGCUGGGCCCUACAUCCGUAUUCCAGGGACUCUGGGUGCUAAUGAGAUCUGCGAACGACUCCGGGACGACAAGACGUGCAAGAUCGUGCACGACCCGUCGAUGAACGAGCCUUAUUUCUACUGCAGCAGCGACAAGAUUUGGUGUGGCUUUGAUGACCAAGAUUCUGUGUACCUCAAGGCCCGCUACGCAAAGAACAUGGGCCUGGCUGGCGUCAUGGCGUGGACGAUCGACACAGACGACUUUCGACCUAAUUGCUACCACGAAAAGUUCCAUCUCCUCAACUCCAUUAAACGUGCUUUUGCUUUAGCACCUGGUAACGAUACUGUGGUCUGUGGUAACUACUUUACGACUAGCACACCCGAACCCACCACAACCACGCCCGAACCCACCACAACCACGCCCGAACCCACCACAACCACACCCGAACCCACCACAACCACACCCGAACCCACCACAACCACACCCGAA